GAUGAACGCUGGCGGCGUGCCUAAUACAUGCAAGUCGAACGCUGAGGGAGGAGCUUUCUCUUCUGGAUGAGUGGCGAACGGGUGAGUAACGCGUGAGUAACCUGCCUGUUAGCGGGGGAUAACUAUUGGAAACGAUAGCUAAUACCGCAUGACAACAGUUAUUGCAUGAUGACUGUUUGAAAGGUGCAGCUGCUCCGCUACCAGAUGGACCUUCUUUGUAUUAGCUAGUUGGUGAGGUAACGGCUCACCAAGGCGGCGAGACGUCGCCGACAGGGGAGGGGGGUCGGCCACACUGGGAGUGAGACCCGGCACAGAGGCACAGGGGAGGCAGCCGGAGGGAAUCGUGGGCAAUGGAUGGAAGUCUGACCGCGCAACGCCGCGUGAGGGAAGAAGGUUUUCGGAUCGUAAAGCUCUGUUGUAAGGGAAGAAAGAGUGUGAGAGUGGAACGUUCCCAGUGUGACGGUAUCUUAUCAGAAAGAGACGGCUAACUACGUG
rnacentral:rRNA from 1 species